rnacentral:tRNA from 1 species
GCGCCCAUAGCUCAGUUGGAUAGAGCGUCGGACUACGAAUCCGAAGGCCGCAGGUUCAAGUCCUGCUGGGCGCA